AUGGAGAGGGAAAUUUCUCCUGAGGCGCCUCCCACCCCCACACGUCUCCUCCCCCGGGGACCUAACGAGGAGAGAAAACCGGGCGAUCAAGGGGGAGCGGGCGCCGAGGCUGAGGCGGCGGAGAUGGGGACGUACAAGUGCUGCAUCUUCUUCACGCGCAGGUUCGCGCUGCCCGACGCGACCACGCCGGAGGAUGUGCGCACGCUCUUCUCCCGCUUCUCCGGCGGCACGCCGUACAUGGGCGUCGACGAGCUCCGCCGCUACCUAGCCGCCACCGGGGAGCUCGACGGUGACGGCGGAAUGGACGUGGCGGAGCGGAUCGUGGACCGGGUCCUCCAGGGCCGCAGCCGCACCCCGCGUUUCGGAAGGCCGGCCCUCACCGUUGAUGACUUCCACAACUUCCUCUUCUCCGAGGACCUCAACCCGCCCAUCCGUCAGUCAAAGGUUCAUCAUGACAUGAAUGCACCUUUGUCCCACUACUUCAUAUACACCGGACACAACUCAUAUCUUACUGGCAAUCAACUUAGCAGUGACUGUAGUGAUGUUCCCAUAAUCAAGGCACUGCAAAUAGGUGUUCGUGUAAUUGAAUUAGACAUGUGGCCAAAUUCUUCUAAAGAUGACAUAGAUAUUCUCCAUGGAAGGACACUUACUGCCCCAGUGUCACUUUUGAAAUGUUUGAAAUCCAUAAAAAAAUAUGCCUUUGUCGCAUCUCCCUACCCUGUUAUUAUAACAUUAGAAGACCACCUUACAUCUGAUCUUCAGGCAAAAGUAGCCAAGAUGGUCCUUGAAGUAUUUGGAGAUAUCCUGUACUAUCCUGAAUCAAAACAUCUUCAAGAAUUUCCUUCACCGGAAGCACUAAGGGGGCGUGUAAUCCUCUCAACAAAGCCCCCAAAGGAGUACCUUGAAGCAAAGGGUGGUACUAUGAAAGAUAGAGACAUUGAGCCAAAGUUUAGCAAAGGAGAAAAUGAAGAAUCAGCAUGGGGUAUAGAAGUCCCCGAUAUUCAGGAUGAGUUGCAAGAUGCCAACAAGGACGAUAUGUCAUGCCACGAAAGAGGUGUAGAUGAAGAUGAUGAACAGAAAGUGCGCAAGAGUGCACCACUGGAGUAUAAACACCUUAUUACUAUUAAAGCAGGAAAGCCAAAGGGUUCUCUUGUUGACGCCUUGAAGAGUGACCCGGAAAAAGUUAGGCGCCUCAGUUUGAGCGAGCAAGAACUUGCAAAAGUGGCGGCAGGUCAUGGUCCGAAGAUAGUGAGCUUUACACAAAGAAAUCUACUGAGAAUAUACCCAAAGGGGACCCGCUUCAAUUCAUCCAACUACAACCCAUUUCUUGGCUGGGUGCAUGGUGCUCAAAUGGUAGCAUUCAAUAUGCAGGGAUACGGCAGAGCCCUUUGGUUAAUGAAUGGAUUUUACAAAGCCAAUGGAGGCUGUGGUUAUGUGAAGAAACCAGAUUUUUUAAUGCAAACUUGUCCGGAUGGGAAGGUUUUCGAUCCGACAGCAGACUUACCUGUGAAGAAAACACUGAAGGUCAAAGUGUACAUCGGCGAUGGUUGGCAGCAGGAUUUUAAGCAGACACAUUUCGAUUCAUAUUCCCCUCCAGAUUUUUAUGCAAAGGUGGGCAUAGCCGGAGUUCCAUCAGACUCGGUGAUGAGGAAGACUAGAGUCGUGGAGGAUAGCUGGGUCCCAAUGUGGGAAGAUGGGUUCACCUUCCCGCUGACAGUGCCGGAGAUCGCUCUGCUGCGUGUGGAGGUGCACGAGUAUGAUGUGAACGAGGACGACUUCGGCGGGCAGACCGUUCUGCCUGUGUCGGAGCUGUGGCCAGGGAUCCGCACCGUGCCGCUCUUCGACCACAAGGGAAUGAAGUUCAAGAGCGUGAAGCUUCUCAUGAGCUUCGAGUUUGUCUAG
rnacentral:rRNA from 1 species